CCGAAAAACCUUACCUACCCUUGACAUGUCUGGAAGGCCGAAGAGAUUUUGGCUGUGCUCGCAAGAGAACCGGAACACAGGUGCUGCAUGGCUGUCGUCAGCUCGUGUCGUGAGAUGUUGGGUUAAGUCCCGCAACGAGCGCAACCCUUGUCAUUAGUUGCUACGAAAGGGCACUCUAAUGAGACUGCCGGUGACAAACCGGAGGAAGGUGGGGAUGACGUCAAGUCCUCAUGGCCCUUAUGGGUAGGGCUUCACACGUCAUACAAUGGUCGGGACAGAGGGUCGCCAACCCGCAGGGGGAGCCAAUCCCAGAAACCCGAUCGUAGUCCGGAUCGCAGUCUGCAACUCGACUGCGUGAAGUCGGAAUCGCUAGUAAUCGCGGAUCAGCAUGUCGCGGUGAAUACGUUCCCGGGUCUUGUACACACCGCCCGUCACACCAUGGGAGUGGGUUUUACCAGAAGUAGUUAGCCUAACCGCAAGGAGGGCGAUUACCACGGUAGGAUUCAUGACUGGGGUGAAGUCGUAACAAGGUAAGCGUAGUGCU
rnacentral:rRNA from 1 species